CGUGGCCCACAUGAAACUUCUCGAGGGCUUGAAUUCGGGAGAGCCCCGAAAGCUCGUCCCUUUCUUGUUCCCGUUCUUUCCCGGCGCUCUCCCGUUUCACUGUUGAACCUAAAUCUGGAACGAAGGUGGAAAGAAAGCAAAGCCGUCUGUUCCAUUUUUCUCCUCUCUAUCACGACCUCCUCUCAUUAGCCUUCCAUUUCUCGGGCGGUGAAAAAAGCCAGAGUUAGAGAAAGGCUCUGUCGAUCUUUAUUUUCGGGCUUUCUCGAUUGGAAACGAGGAGAGCUGCUCAACCCUUUUAUCAUCGACCAGUGCGAGGAAUCUCAGGUCAGUUAGGCACAGAACGAGCCCGGAUUUGAUGCAUCGAAAGUUAUGAGAUUUCCUGCGAUACAUUGCUUGGGGGCUUGCAAUUUAAUUACUCGAGAAAUAUUGCAUCUUUGCUCGCGGCUCUAAGAUGCCAUCUUCUUAUUUUUCGAGGCAGAAAGUGCUUCAAUCCUCCGUGGACAUUCUACUUGGACGGGUCCAGAGCUUGCCAUUUAGCAAUUCUGGUUUCUUUCAAUCACAUCCAUUUGCUAGUCUAUUGAACAAUAUUUGGCUGUUUCGUAGAGCUGAUCACGCGACAACAUUACCCAUCACUGGAGCACUUCCCUGCACAAUACGUGUUCCUUCAGUUACUGGACCUUCUUGCCAGUCCGGUUUGGAUCAAGUUGAUUGCCUGGUUUCUGAGCCCAUCCAGAGGUUUCCCUUUAUCUUGCUCCAGAGGAAUAUAAUGUCCACCGGCAAUUCUUUAUGUGGUGAAGCUGAAAUGGCUGCACGGCAUUUGGACAAUUUACAUCUGAAGAGUGGGCAGAUUUUGAACACUCUGACAAGAGCUGAUGUUUGUUUUCGCAACAAGAGUCUUGAUUACUGCACAAGAGUUUCUGGGAGCUUGAAAAGCCAAGAACCAUGGGGUAACAAUAUGAUAUAUAAGUGUUUUUGGUCAAAUGCAGUUGGAAAAAGUUUGGGGCCCAAUCCUUUUAUAGAGUCCAGGAACAAGGGGAUUUUGUCAUUGUGGUCUGCAGCAUAUUCUACUAGAGCAGCUCCUGAUGUAUCUUUCGAUUGUUCUCCCAGGGAAGAGCAGCCUGAGAAUUCUUCAUGUUCCUCCCACCAGAAAAAGCUGGGUGAUAGAACCUUGAAGCUGCUUUCUGGAUCCUGUUAUUUGCCACACCCAGAUAAGGAGGAAACUGGAGGGGAAGAUGCUCAUUUUAUAUGUGAUGAGCAGGCCAUUGGUGUAGCAGAUGGUGUUGGUGGCUGGGCAGAUCUUGGAGUUGACGCUGGACAGUAUGCCAGAGAACUUAUGUCUCAUUCGGUAGCUGCAAUCCAAGAAGAGCCCAAAGGAUCAAUUAAUCCAGCAAGGGUGUUAGAGAAGGCUUACUCAAGCACUAAGGCUAAAGGAUCAUCAACAGCAUGCAUCAUUGCUCUCACAGAUCAGGGGAUACAUGCUGUCAACCUAGGGGACAGUGGCUUCAUUGUUGUAAGAGAUGGGUGCACAAUCUUCCGGUCACCUGUUCAACAACAUGAUUUCAAUUUCACAUAUCAACUUGAGAGUGGCAAUGCCAGUGAUCUUCCAAGUGCUGCCCAGGUGUUCACCUUUCCUGUCGCAGCUGGUGAUGUUAUAGUUGCAGGAACUGAUGGACUGUUUGAUAACCUGUACAAUAAUGAGAUUACAGCUGUUGUUGUUCAUGCCAUCAGAGCUGGGCUGGAGCCUCAAGUGACAGCUCAGAAGAUAGCUGCACUUGCUCGCCAGAGAGCGCAGGAUAAGAACAGGCAAACUCCUUUCUCAUCUGCAGCCCAAGAGGCUGGAUAUCGCUAUUAUGGAGGGAAGCUUGAUGACAUUACUGUUGUGGUAUCCUAUGUCGCUGCCUUUGGUGCUUGAGACAUACUACUCUUGGUUGUACAUACAAUUUUUAAAGCCAGCAAUCAGGAGUGUUGUCGAAAGUGCUCCAUGCAUUUGUCUAAGUGAUUGGGAGAGGCGAGCAAAUGUCGAGCACCUUAACCAUCCCCAAGUGACGAAGGUUUACUAAGGCGGCACCUAGGCAAGCACCUAGGGCAAAGUGAGAGGCAUCGUUGUCGAAAACUAUUCUUCUUGUACUGUUUGACCUAUUCUUUUAGAGCUUUAUAAGCUUUGUUUUGAUAUUGAUUUUGAUAGAUAAGAGCCUUGAUAAAUACGGGUUACUCUUGGAUGUUCAAUAGUUUACUUGUUUGUUGUUGUUGUCGAGAAACAUCAUCUGUGUCUAUAUUUUGUUGUCACAUGUGAACUUUGAAGCCAUUUUAAUAUGUCUGGUGGUUUAUUUUGGCUGACUUAUUGUUUAAAAGCAUGCUACCAGAGAUGGUAUUUCGAUGUGAUGUUUGAAAGUUGUGAAACAUAAUAUCUAAUGUUCAA